rnacentral:tRNA from 1 species
UCUACUUUGGCAGAUAAGUGUGUUAGAUUUAGGAUCUUUUUAUGUGAAUGAUUUUCACAGGUAGAA